rnacentral:tRNA from 1 species
CGGAUGUAUAGCUCAGCGGUAGAGCGACUGACUGUUAAUCAGUGGGUCCCUGGUUCGAAUCCAGGUAUGUCCGCCAA